rnacentral:rRNA from 1 species
CAACUUUUAACAACGGAUCUCUUGGUUCUCGCAUCGAUGAAGAACGUAGCAAAGUGCGAUAACUAGUGUGAAUUGCAUAUUCAGUGAAUCAUCGAGUCUUUGAACGCAUCUU